CAGUGUUUAUUUUUUAUAAACAUAAAGAAGAGCCAGUGACUUAUCUCUGCUCAUAAAAUAGCCGUGUCUUGAAAUAAGGUGCAGAGAAACCAGACGAGCAGUGAUUUUCAUCAUUCCUUUGUUUCAGUCACUAAAUAAUGAUUUUUUCGUUUUAUGAAGAUUUAAGUGGUUGUUUUCUGCCAGAGGCAAUCUGGGGUUUCUUGCCACUGUCAAAUGAAGAAUUGGGAGAUCUGACCGGGGCAAACUAAUGUUCACUCUUACCGCCUGUGCCAGCUCAUUUAGUAAGUGUAACUCCUUGUAUCACCGCCAGAUCCGUCAUAUUUUCAUGGGCAGGUAUUCUGUUUGCUGAUGGGCAGUUCAUGAAAAGUUCUGCCUUGCAGUUUGACAGAUUCAUAAGGUACUGGAAGGAGUAGACACCCCAUAGCACCUGCCUUGAUCAGUGAAUGGUAUUCAGUCCUAUUGUAAU